rnacentral:antisense_RNA from 1 species
GACCAUUUCCCACAAUCUUUUAUUAAGAAAACUUCCAAACAUACAGAAAAGUUGAAAGAACAAGCACACUGUUCACUGAAAUACCAGCCACUGCAGAUUCAACAAUGAACAUUUUGGCCUUAUUUGCUUUGUGUAUUUUGGGGGGAACCAUUUGGAAUUAAAUUACACAUUUCUUGAAGGCAUUCACCUAUAUAAUCCAGCAUCUAUCUCCUAAGAAUGAGGACAUUUUCCCAUGAACCUCAGUGCCAUUAAAUGGCUAUUAGAGGAAUGGUUGGUCUUUGUGAGGGUCUCAUGUCCAGGAACCUCAACAAAGUGUGCUAGGCCCUUAGCAGAGAGGGUAGAACCUGCUUGCCGGCUCCCUCACGUUCUCUCCCAUCCCAGAAAGGCAGAAGCAGGAGGUGCUGUGAAUAGAACAGUGCCCUUUGUGGUGACAAAGCUAUGGGGAGCCUGCUGUGCAUGUGCCAGGACCUGCAGGGCAGCUGCCCUGGCCCCCACAGGGACCUCUGAGCUGCACGGUUUCGUCCCCGCUUCACAUGUGAAAAAUCUGAAGUUCAGAUGAAGUCGUUUCCCCAAGAUUAUUCUGCCAAGUAGGAGAGCCUGAAUGCACAGUCUAGAGCCCACGUUCCUGCCGCCGACUCACAAUAGCCCCAAGGUCUUCACCCCAGACGGGUCCCGCGCUGAGGCCCAGGCUCUGAACCACCGAGUCUUCUUUAGAGUUUCUCCGCUGGCCCUGGCUCACGUUUGCCCACUGGCCUGUUGUGAACGCCCUUGCACAGAGUAGGUGCUUCUGGAAGCAUCUGAUGGAGGGUGACUGCGGAGCCAGGGGCUGUGGCAGCAGGGGGAUGGUCCAGCACAUCAGGCGGGCCUGAGAAGGGUCAGAGCAGAGAGGUGGUGGAGUCGUCUCCCUCCAGAGCUUUCCUUCGCUGGCUCUGCAGGAGGCUCUGGAAUGCUGCUCCGGGAGCCCGCUGGGCACGGGGACACAGGCCAGGCCUGCACUGCUGCUCCCUGCCCCGAGCUGCCCGCCCAGCCCGCAUUUUGCCAACUUUUGUGAGCCUGAGCAGUUGGUUCUGGUUCAAGGGCUCUGAGCUGGCACAGCCCCAAACCAGGGCCUCUUCCUGGGCCUCAAUGAAGCAUGCCCGUGAGUCAGCACUGAGACGCAAACUGAACAACAGGCAGGGCGAGUGGAACGUGGGAUGGGGAGCAAAGGCUGGAAGGAGGGGGACUGGGCCCACACCUGGAAGAACCCACAUCCUUGCAGCCUCCGGUGGCUGCAACAUCUUGGCCCCUGCAGAGCUUUUCAGAGGUCCGGCACAAUGACUCCACAGAGGAGGGCUGACUGGUUCCAUGAUGCUUAAGAGGUUAGGAAGCUUGUAGGAGGCACGCCUGACUUGCCACUCUCCCUCCACCCAGGCCUGACUGUCUGAGGACCAAUUCACACACCUGGAGCCCCGAGUAGCAGCCUGAAGGAAUGCUAAGGAGGUAGGUGAGGGAGUGGGGGGCAGGCCCUUGCCCCCAUUUCUUGAUUGUAUAACAACACUUCAUUAAAAUAAAAUCACACAGUGCCAUCUUUUAUUAGACAUUUUAAUACCAUAUCAAAACACCUUGACUAAUGAAGAAAGCUUUUCUCCCAAGCUUUGAACAUUUUUUUAAACAUUUUAUAAGUUUUUUUUGUA